AUACGGAGGAUCCGAGCGUUAUCCGGAUUUAUUGGGUUUAAAGGGUGCGCAGGCGGCCAUUUAAGUCAGCGGUUAAAUCGUGGGGCUCAACCCCAUUCUGCCGUUGAUACUGGGUGGCUUGAUUGCGGUCGAGGUUGGCGGAAUUCGUUGUGUAGCGGUGAAAUGCAUAGAUAUGACGAAGAACACCGAUUGCGUAGGCAGCUGACCAGACCGCAAAUGACGCUCAUGCACGAAAGUGCGGGGAUCGAACAGGAUUAUAUACCCUGGUAGUCCGCACAGUAAACGAUGAAUACUUGUUUUCGGCGAUAUAAUGUCGGAGGCAAAGCGAAAGCGAUAAGUAUUCCACCUGGGGAGUACGCCGGCAACGGUGAAACUCAAAGGAAUUGACGGGG
rnacentral:rRNA from 1 species